AUUGAACGCUGGCGGCAUGCCUUACACAUGCAAGUCGAACGGUAACGGGCCUUCGGGUGCCGACGAGUGGCGAACGGGUGAGUAAUACAUCGGAACGUGCCCGAUCGUGGGGGAUAACGAGGCGAAAGCUUUGCUAAUACCGCAUACGAUCUACGGAUGAAAGCAGGGGACCGCAAGGCCUUGCGCGGACGGAGCGGCCGAUGGCAGAUUAGGUAGUUGGUGGGAUAAAAGCUUACCAAGCCGACGAUCUGUAGCUGGUCUGAGAGGAUGAUCAGCCACACUGGGACUGAGACACGGCCCAGACUCCUACGGGAGGCAGCAGUGGGGAAUUUUGGACAAUGGGCGCAAGCCUGUUCCAGCCAUGCCGCGUGCAGGAUGAAGGCCUUCGGGUUGUAAACUGCUUUUGUACGGAACGAAAAGCCUUCUUUUAAUACAGGAGGGUCAUGACGGUACCGUAAGAAUAAGCACCGGCUAACUACGUG
rnacentral:rRNA from 1 species